rnacentral:rRNA from 1 species
GAAGCCCCCCUCAAGAUGAGAUUUCCCAACUUCGGUUAUAAGAUCCCUCAAAGAUGAUGAGGUUAAUAGGUUCGAGGUGGAAGCAUGGUGACAUGUGGAGCUGACGAAUACUAAUCGAUCGAAGACUUAAUCAAAUU